GCUUCGGUAGUGCAAUCGGUUAGUACGCGUCUCUGGAAAGGAUGCGAUGCGGGUCCGAUUCCCGUCUGACGUU